rnacentral:misc_RNA from 1 species
GGCAAUUUGGAUCAAUGAUGAAGUGUUGCGGCGAGGUGGGUCUACAAUGAAAUGCUAAAUUGAUGUGGGUUUGGCUGAAAGGGAGACGUUUGUAAUGAUCAGCGAAGGCGAAUAUAGUAAGGAAGGGAGAGCAAGGCUAGGAGAGGAGCUUGGUGGGAGUGACCGAAGAGGCCAACCUGUCUGCAAUGAGGCGGGUUUGAUUAAAGGGGCAUUUUGGUAUUAAAAGUUAGUUAUUAUGUUGACUAACUUGAAACUAAUUUGACUAACAGUGAUUUAACUAAAAUUUUAACGGCAAGGACUACUUAGUUGGUUUUUAAAAUGUGAAGUACUAAAUAGGUGAGUUUUAAAAAU